CUGAGAUGGGGAAGAAGGGAAGAGAGGGAUGGGUGUAGAAACUUGGUGCUGAGUCAUCCUGAUGAAGACAAAUGUCCCAGCAUUUGUCUUCCUCCUCCUUGAAAACAUGGCAGCAGAGGUGCCUGAGGGUCCUCUUCACAGCAGAUGGAAACCUAGGCAUGAAGGCCUGGGGCUAGGAAUGUGACCGGGAAGACAGGAAGACCAGAGGGAAGCUGAGGACCAGACAAGAGGUGCCUGAAGGGUUCUCUGCACAGCAGAUAGAAAUCUAGGCAUGAAGACUUGGAACUAGGAAUUUGAGCAGGAAAUCAGGAAGACCAGAGGGGAGCUGAGGAGCCCAGUCCUUCCAAGCCUGAAUGAACUAUAAUCCAGAAAUAGAGGGCACACCCGUGAUCCAGAUUUUGAGGCCAGAAGACAACAUUCCUUUGAACUGGAUCUUCAGGCUGGAAGACACAACACCUUAAAUCCCCACCUCGAGGCUGGAAGGCACACCUUUAAUCUGGGCCACACCUUCUGCUGAAAUCCUGUAUAAGGACAGUGGAAGAAGGGUUUGUUCUUUUUUCCCUGCUUGCCUUUGCCUUGUCAUUCAGAAGACCAGCUGGGACACCCAGCCUCGUGGGACCAAGCAGCUACUAGAUUCUUGGACUUCCCUUCACAACUAGCCAUUGUUGGACUGCAGCCUGGUAUGCUGGACCUGCAACUCCUUUGCCUGCUACAUGAUGACUGCUCAGUCUCCACAGAGAAGAGAGUGAUUUCCUCUUUGUCCCUGCUUAUAUACUGAUUAUGCCCAGAUAUGCCACUUCCUGUUUAUCAGUACAGACCUCCUGACUUCUAUGAUUAGCUAGUGGCAAGUUUCUGCCCAGCUAUGUCACUUCCUAUCUGGCUAAUUAGCCAACCAGUGUUUUAUUCAUUAACCAAUAAGAGAAACAUAUACAGAGAAGAAUGUUACACAUAACACACCCAUGAGUACACAUGACCUGGUACACAAACACAUAUACCACAUACAGUACAAAAUAAAGUAAAAUAAUAAAAGAAAU
rnacentral:lncRNA from 1 species